UGGGGGAUAUUGCACAAUGGGCGAAAGCCUGAUGCAGCGACGCCGCGUGGGGGAUGAAGGCCUUCGGGUUGUAAACUUCUUUUGCCCUGAACAAGGCGCACCAUGGGGUGUGUUGAGUGUAGGGGUUGAUUAGCGCCGGCUAACUACGUGCCCGCAGCCGCGGUAAUACGUAGGGCGCGAGCGUUGUCCGGAAUUAUUGGGCGUAAAGGGCUUGUAGGUGGCUGGUUGCGUCUGUCGUGAAAGCUCAUGGCUUAACUGUGGGUUUGCGGUGGGUACGGGCUGGCUUGAGUGCAGUAGGGGAGGAUGGAAUUCCUGGGGUAGCGGUGGAAUGCGCAGAUAUCAGGAGGAAUACCGGUGGCGAAGGCGGGUCUCUGGGCUGUUACUGACACUGAGGAGCGAAAGCAUGGGGAGCGAACAGG
rnacentral:rRNA from 1 species